CGUAUCUCGCUCGUUUGCGGGUUCAAAAAGUUGCUAGGCGUUUGCAGACGCCAGCGCACGUAGCUUGGGUAGAAACUCAGGGCUUGUGAACAGUAAAAAUAUUUUUAGCAAAAAGUUACCUAGAUAAAUAGGUAUCACUCCCACCUGCUGUAUCCCGUGUGAGAGUGUUUAAGCAGGCAGUGACCUGCUGAAGAGCAGGAAAUAGGUUUUAACCUGGAGGUCCCGGUGUUUAGUGCAGCUUCUCGGAUAAAAUACUAAGUGAAUAUAGGAGAAAAUGAGAAACCUGCAACGUUACUGUAGCAGAGGCAUUUGAGCGCCUACUGUGACCCAGGCACUGAGCCACACUCUGCAAGGAUUCAUUUAAUCCUCAUCCAGCAUAAGAGCUUGUGGGAUCUUAGUUCCUGGUCCAGGGAUCGAACUCGGGCCCUCGGCAGUGGAAGCGCAGAGUCCUAACCACGGACUGCCAGGGAAUUCCCUCAAGUGACAGUACAGUCAAAGGAACCACCUCCCUGCCUUCAGUCCAGUACAUCCCUCGCCUUCUGUCUGACACGAUACAAGUUUUACUUUGUCCUGGCUCCUGCUGCCUACGCCUUGCAAUAGAUGUGACAUUGAGAGGUGAUGUCGUUUCUCUAGUGCUUCAAUCAACCUGGGAAGAGUAUGCUCGUCAUUGAUAUCCAAAAUUUCGCAGGAUGGCAAAGGUGGAAAACUCUGCAAAACCACUUCUGAAACC